GUAGCGAAAGUUACGCUAAUACCGCAUAUUCUGUGAGCAGGAAAGCAGGGGAUCGCAAGACCUUGCGCUGAUUGAGCGGCCGAUAUCAGAUUAGCUUGUUGGUGAGGUAAAAGCUCACCAAGGCGACGAUCUGUAGCGGGUCUGAGAGGAUGAUCCGCCACACUGGAACUGAGACACGGUCCAGACUCCUACGGGAGGCAGCAGUGGGGAAUUUUGGACAAUGGGGGCAACCCUGAUCCAGCCAUGCCGCGUGAGUGAAGAAGGCCUUCGGGUUGUAAAGCUCUUUCAGCCGGGAAGAAAACGCAUGGGUUAAUACCCUGUGUGGAUGACGGUACCGGAAUAAGAAGCACCGGCUAACUACGUGCCAGCAGCCGCGGUAAUACGUAGGGUGCGAGCGUUAAUCGGAAUUACUGGGCGUAAAGCGUGCGCAGGCGGUUUUGUAAGACAGGCGUGAAAUCCCCGGGCUUAACCUGGGAACUGCGUUUGUGACUGCAAGGCUAGAGUACGGCAGAGGGGGGUGGAAUUCCACGUGUAGCAGUGAAAUGCGUAGAGAUGUGGAGGAACACCAAUGGCGAAGGCAGCCCCCUGGGUCGAUACUGACGCUCAUGCACGAAAGCGUGGGUAGCAAACAGGAUUAGAUACCCUGGUAGUCCACGCCCUAAACGAUGUCAACUAGGUGUUGGGAGGGUAAAACCUUUUAGUACCGGAGCUAACGCGUGAAGUUGACCGCCUGGGGAGUACGGCCGCAAGGUUAAAACUCAAAGGAAUUGACGGGGACCCGCACAAGCUGUGGAUGAUGUGGAUUAAUUCGAUGCAACGCGAAAAACCUUACCUACCCUUGACAUGCCAAGAACUUUCCAGAGAUGGAUUGGUGCCCGAAAGGGAACUUGGACACAGGUGCUGCAUGGCUGUCGUCAGCUCGUGUCGUGAGAUGUUGGGUUAAGUCCCGCAACGAGCGCAACCCUUGUCGUUAAUUGCCAUCAUUUAGUUGGGCACUUUAACGAGACUGCCGGUGACAAACCGGAGGAAGGUGGGGAUGACGUCAAGUCCUCAUGGCCCUUAUGGGUAGGGCUUCACACGUCAUACAAUGGUCGGUGCAAAGGGUCGCCAAGCCGCGAGGUGGAGCCAAUCCCAGAAAGCCGAUCGUAGUCCGGAUCGCAGUCUGCAACUCGACUGCGUGAAGUCGGAAUCGCUAGUAAUCGUGGAUCAGAAUGUCACGGUGAAUACGUUCCCGGGUCUUGUACACACCGCCUGUCACACCAUGGGUGCGGGUUCCGCCAGAAGUAGGUAGCCUAACCGCAAGGAGGGCGCUUACCACGGCGGGGUUCGUGAC
rnacentral:rRNA from 1 species